rnacentral:rRNA from 1 species
AGGACUAACGCUGGCGGCGUGCUUAACACAUGCAAGUCGAACGAUGAUGCUGCAACUUGUUGUGGUGGAUUAGUGGCGAACGGGUGAGUAACACGUGAGUAACCUGCCUUUCACUCUGGGAUAAGCCUUGGAAACGAGGUCUAAUACUGGAUAUGACUUCUUGCCGCAUGGUGGGGGGGUGGAAAGCCUUCGGGUGGUGGAUGAUGGACUCGCGGACUAUCAGCUUGUUGGUGGGGUUGUGGCCUACCAAGGCAAUGACGGUUAGCCGGCCUGAGAGGGUGACCGGCCACAUUGGGGACUGAGAUACGGCCCAAACUCCUACGGGAGGCAGGCAGUGGGGAAUAUUGCACAAUGGGCGAAAGCCUGAUGCAGCGACGCCGCGUGGGGGAUGAAGGCCUUCGGGUUGUAACUCCUUUCGCUCGUGACGAAGUCUCGUUCGGGGUGACGGUAGCGGGAGAAGAAGCGACCGGCUAACUACGUGCCAGCAGCCGCGGUAA